CAGAGAAUAGUUUAUUAAAAAUUUUAAUUUUGGAGAUUAAAGAAGGGGGAUUUCCUUUCUCUGA
rnacentral:tRNA from 1 species